GAUGAACGCUAGCUACAGGCUUAACACAUGCAAGUCGAGGGGCAGCACAGUGUAGCAAUACAGUGGGUGGCGACCGGCGCACGGGUGCGUAACGCGUAUCCAACCUUCCCGUUACUCUUGGAUAGCCUUCCGAAAGGGAGAUUAAUACAAGAUGGUAUUCAAAUUCCGCAUGUUAUUUGAAUUAAAGAUUUAUCGGUAACGGAUGGGGAUGCGUGACAUUAGAUAGUUGGCGGGGUAACGGCCCACCAAGUCGACGAUAGCUAGGGGAUCUGAGAGGACGGUCCCCCACACUGGUACUGAGACACGGACCAGACUCCUACGGGAGGCAGCAGUGAGGAAUAUUGGUCAAUGGUCGAGAGACUGAACCAGCCAAGUCGCGUGAGGGAAGACUGCCCUAUGGGUUGUAAACCUCUUUAGUCGGGGAGCAAAAAAGCGGACGUGUCCGCCAUUGAGCGUACCCGAAGAAUAAGCAUCGGCUAACUCCGUG
rnacentral:rRNA from 1 species